GACGAACGCUGGCGGCGUGCCUAAUACAUGCAAGUUGAGCGCUGAAGGUUGGUACUUGUACCAACUGGAUGAGCAGCGAACGGGUGAGUAACGCGUGGGGAAUCUGCCUUUGAGCGGGGGACAACAUUUGGAAACGAAUGCUAAUACCGCAUAACAACUUUAAACACAAGUUUUAAGUUUGAAAGAUGCAAUUGCAUCACUCAAAGAUGAUCCCGCGUUGUAUUAGCUAGUUGGUGAGGUAAAGGCUCACCAAGGCGAUGAUACAUAGCCGACCUGAGAGGGUGAUCGGCCACAUUGGGACUGAGACACGGCCCAAACUCCUACGGGAGGCAGCAGUAGGGAAUCUUCGGCAAUGGACGAAAGUCUGACCGAGCAACGCCGCGUGAGUGAAGAAGGUUGUCGGAUCGUAAAACUCUGUUGGUAGAGAAGAACGUUGGUGAGAGUGGAAAGCUCAUCAAGUGACGGUAACUACCCAGAAAGGGACGGCUAACUACGUG
rnacentral:rRNA from 1 species